rnacentral:rRNA from 1 species
AUUGAACGCUGGCGGCAGGCCUAACACAUGCAAGUCGAACGGUAGCACAGAGAGCUUGCUCUCGGGUGACGAGUGGCGGACGGGUGAGUAAUGUCUGGGAAACUGCCCGAUGGAGGGGGAUAACUACUGGAAACGGUAGCUAAUACCGCAUAACGUCGCAGGACCAAAGUGGGGGACCUUCGGGCCUCACACCAUCGGAUGUGCCCAGAUGGGAUUAGCUAGUAGGUGGGGUAAUGGCUCACCUAGGCGACGAUCCCUAGCUGGUCUGAGAGGAUGACCAGCCACACUGGAACUGAGACACGGUCAAGACUCCUACGGGAGGCAGCAGUGGGGAAUAUUGCACAAUGGGCGCAAGCCUGAUGCAGCCAUGCCGCGUGUAUGAAGAAGGCCUUCGGGUUGUAAAGUACUUUCAGCGGGGAGGAAGGCGGUGAAGUUAAUAACUUCACCGAUUGACGUUACCCGCAGAAGAAGCACCGGCUAACUCCGUGCCAGCCGCCGCCGUAA